rnacentral:lncRNA from 1 species
UCGAAGUAUUUUCAGUAGGGUCAAUGAUUCCCUCCUACUGAGAUGUGCUGCUAUUCAAAUAGGGAGUGUUAUCACCAAGUGGAUUUGAUGUUCCUCCUAUCGCUCCUUGAGUAUUCUUCAUUCAUCAUGGAGCCAUAUUGACCUAUGAUAAAUUUGAGAUGAUAACUUAUUCUUAAUAAAGUUAUAAACUUACUUAAGAUAGGUCAGAUCAUAAUCAUCAUAACUAACC